rnacentral:rRNA from 1 species
CUAAGUUUGAUGGCGACCGGCGCGCGGGUGAGUAACACGUAUCCAACCUGCCGAUGACUCGGGGAUAGCCUUUCGAAAGAAAGAUUAAUACCCGAUGGCAUAGUUCUUCCGCAUGGUGGAACUAUUAAAGAAUUUCGGUCAUCGAUGGGGAUGCGUUCCAUUAGGUUGUUGGCGGGGUAACGGCCCACCAAGCCUUCGAUGGAUAGGGGUUCUGAGAGGAAGGUCCCCCACAUUGGAACUGAGACACGGUCCAAACUCCUACGGGAGGCAGCAUG